rnacentral:tRNA from 1 species
GGGCCUCUAGCUCAUUUGGUAGAGCACCAUCCUUUUAAGAUGGCCGUGCCGCGUUCGAAUCGCGGGAGGCUCA